rnacentral:rRNA from 1 species
UACGGAGGGGCAAGCGUUGUUCGGAAUUACUGGGCGUAAAGGGCUCGUAGGUGGCCAACUAAGUCAGACGUGAAAUCCCUCGGCUUAACCGGGGAACUGCGUCUGAUACUGGAUGGCUUGAGUUUGGGAGAGGGACGCGGAAUUCCAGGUGUAGCGGUGAAAUGCGUAGAUAUCUGGAGGAACACCGGUGGCGAAGGCGGCGUCCUGGACCAACACUGACACUGAUGAGCGAAAGCCAGGGGAGCAAACGGG